GCAGAGCACUCUAGGGAGGCAGCAGUGGGGAAUAUUGCACAAUGGGCGCAAGCCUGAUGCAGCCAUGCCGCGUGUAUGAAGAAGGCCUUCGGGUUGUAAAGUACUUUCAGCAGUGAGGAAGGUGGGUAUGUUAAUAGCAUAUUCAUUUGACGUUAGCUGCAGAAGAAGCACCGGCUAACUCCGUGCCAGCAGCCGCGGUAAUACGGAGGGUGCGAGCGUUAAUCGGAAUUACUGGGCGUAAAGCGCAUGCAGGUGGUUUGUUAAGUCAGAUGUGAAAGCCCGGGGCUCAACCUCGGAAUUGCAUUUGAAACUGGCAAACUAGAGUACUGUAGAGGGGGUAGAAUUUCAGGUGUAGCGGUGAAAUGCGUAGAGAUCUGAAGGAAUACCGGUGGCGAAGGCGGCCCCCUGGACAGAUACUGACACUCAGAUGCGAAAGCGUGGGGAGCAAACAGGAUUAUAUACCCUGGUAG
rnacentral:rRNA from 1 species